UGACAGGUAAGCGAAAUCUAAGGAAAGUAGCGAAGCACAUGAUGACGGCUUCCAGGAAAAGCUUCUGGCAAUGCAUAUGCGGCCCGUACCAAAACCGACACAGGUGGGCAGGGAGAGAAUCCCGAGGUGAGCGAGAGAACUGUUGCCUAGGAACUCGGCAAAAUGACUCCGUAAGUUAGCGAGAAGGAGUGCUUAAGCAAUUAAGCCGCAGUGAAGAGGCCCAAGCGACUGUUUAACUAAAACACAGCUCUCUGCGAAGUCGCAAGACGAAGUAUAGGGGGUGACACCUGCCCGGUGCUGGAAGGUUAAGAGGAUCUGUUAAGAGCGAUCUGAAGCAGUGAUCCGAAGCCCCAGUGAACGGCGGCCGUAACGAUAACGGUCCUAAGGUAGCGAAAUUCCUUGUCAGGUAAGAUCUGACCCGCACGAAAGGUGUAACGAUUUGGGCGCUGUCUCGGCAGCAGACUCGGUGAAAUCUUAGUACCUGUGAAAAUGCAGGUUACCCGCAACUAGACGGAAAGACCCCAUGGAGCUUUACUGCAGCCUGAUAUUGAAUUCUGGUCAUACAUGUACAGGAUAGGUGGGAGACAAAGAGACGAGCACGCCAGUGUACGAGGAGUCGACGUUGGGAUACCACUCUUGUGUGACCGGGGUUCUAACCUGGUAUCGAGAACAGGUACGGGGAGAGUGUCAGGUGGGCAGUUUGACUGGGGCGGUCGCCUCCCAAAGAGUAACGGAGGCGCCCAAAGGUACGCUCAGAUUGGAUGGAAACCAAUCGACGAGUGCAAUUGCAGAAGCGUGCUUGACUGUGAGACAAACAAGUCGAACAGGGACGAAAGUCGGGAAUAGUGAUCCGGCGGUGCCGAAUGGAAGGGCCGUCGCUCAACGGAUAAAAGCUACCCUGGGGAUAACAGGCUGAUCUCGCCCAAGAGUUCACAUCGACGGCGAGGUUUGGCACCUCGAUGUCGGCUCAUCGCAUCCUGGAGCUGGAUUCGGUUCCAAGGGUUGGGCUGUCCGCCCAUUAAAGCGGUACGCGAGCUGGGUUCAGAACGUCGUGAGACAGUUCGGUCCCUAUCUGUUGUGGGCGAAGGAGAUCUGCGGAGAGCUGUCCUCAGUACGAGAGGACCGGGAUGGACCUACCGCUGGUGCACCGGUUGUUCCGCCAGGGGCAUAGCCGGGUAGCUAAGUAGGGAAAGGAUAAGCGCUGAAAGCAUCUAAGCACGAAGCCUACUCCAAGAUGAGAUCUCCCAUUCGCAAGAAGUAAGACCCCUUAAAGACGAUAAGGUAGAUAGGCCAGGGAUGGAAGUGCAGUGAUGUACGGAGUUGACUGGUACUAAUCGGUCGAGGACUUAAUC
rnacentral:rRNA from 1 species